CAAGUGACAAGAAAAGCAGUCAGAAAGCUCCAGGCUCAUUUCAGCAGCUUUUUAAUUUUUAUUUAAGCAAGGAACGUGUCCAGCCUAACCUUCUCCAAACCUCCUAUUCCAAGGGUUUGGUUUCUGUAGCCGCUUUCCUGCUGCUCAGGGGAGAUCCUCCAGAAAGAAGCCAGCAGUGUUCAGACAGCUCAGCCAUGCUCCCGCUGCUCAUCUCAGCAUUGCGAAUGAUGUUUGCCUUGAGAGUCGCCAGAGCCCAGCAGGUGACCCAGCCUGAGGUCCAUGUCUCUGUCCCUGAAGGAGCCCCGCUGGAGCUGAGGUGUAACUAUUCCUACGGUGGAACUCCCUAUCUCUUCUGGUAUGUCCAGUACCCCAGCCAAGGCCUCCAGCUGCUCCUCAGGUACUUUUCAGGGGCCAUCUUGGUUCAAGGCAUCAAAGGCUUUGAGGCUGAAUUUAAGAAGAGUGAAUCUUCCUUCAACCUGAGGAAGUCCUCAGCCCAUUGGAGUGACUCAGCCCAGUACUUCUGUGCUUUGGGUGACACAGUGCCUGGGGCUGCAGGGGGAGCGGCACACAAACCACUCAUGGUAGUGGAGUUUUCAGAGGCUCAUGAUCUCUUCCUGGGCAUUAUUAAAGAUCUCUUGGCAUAUGAUGGUCAAUGA